GACGGGGGCCCGCACAAGGCGGUGGAGCAUGUGGUUUUAAUUCGAUGAUACGGCGAGGAACCUUACCUGGGCUCAAAUGUAUGUUGACGUAUUCUGAAAGGGAUACUUCUUCGGACAAUAUACAAGGUGCUGCAUGGUUGUCGUCAGCUCGUGCCGUGAGGUGUCGGGUUAAGUCCCAUAACGAGCGCAACCCCUAUCAUUAGUUGCCAUCAGGUCAAGCUGGGGACUCUAAUGAAACUGCCUACGCAAGUAGUGAGGAAGGUGGGGAUGACGUCAAAUCAGCACGGCCCUUACGUCCAGGGCUACACACGUGCUACAAUGGCCGGUACAAAGGGCAGCGACACUGCGAGGUGAAGCCAAUCCCGUAAAAUCGGUCUCAGUCCGGAUUGGAGUCUGCAACUCGACUCCAUGAAGUUGGAAUCGCUAGUAAUCGCGCAUCAGCCAUGGCGCGGUGAAUACGUUCCCGGGCCUU
rnacentral:rRNA from 1 species